rnacentral:rRNA from 1 species
AGUGAACGCUGGCGGUAGGCCUAACACAUGCAAGUCGAACGGCAGCACAGUAAGAGCUUGCUCUUACGGGUGGCGAGUGGCGGACGGGUGAGGAAUACAUCGGAAUCUACUUUUUCGUGGGGGAUAACGUAGGGAAACUUACGCUAAUACCGCAUACGACCUACGGGUGAAAGCAGGGGAUCUUAGGACCUUGCGCGAUUGAAUGAGCCGAUGUCGGAUUAGCUAGUUGGAGGGGUAAAGGCCCACCAAGGCGACGAUCCGUAGCUGGUCUGAGAGGAUGAUCAGUCACACUGGAACUGAGACACGGUCCAGACUCCUACGGGAGGCAGCAGUGGGGAAUAUUGGACAAUGGGCGCAAGCCUGAUCCAGCCAUACCGCGUGGGUGAAGAAGGCCUUCGGGUUGUAAAGCCCUUUUGGUUGGAAAGAAAAGCAGUAGGUUAAUACCCCGCUGUUCUGACGGUACCCAAAGAAUAAGCACCGGCUAACUUCGUG